AUUCUUGGUUCAGCAGUACAGGUACUGAAAUUUGAGUGAUACAGAGAAGACUGGCAUGGUCCCUGUUCAAGGAUGAUAGGCAAAUAUGUGAAAUGAGUCAUAGUAAAAAAUUUUU
rnacentral:snRNA from 1 species